AGAAAUAGACAAUGCAAGUGUACCAGUUGUCUACAUAUUAGAGAUAGAAAUGAUAUGAAAUGUUUGCUCAUUUUAAAGCAGUUUUUAAUUUUUAUUUACAUACAAUAAGUGCAUUAUUCAAUGUCGUUAGUAAAUUUAUAAAGUUAUGUAACCAAAACCACCAUCUAGGUUUUCUGUUUUGUUUUGUUUUGUUUUGUUCUUGAGAUGGACUCUUGCUCUGUUGCCCAGACUGGAGUGCAGUGGCACGAUCUCGGCUCACUGCAAGGUCCGCCUCCUGGAUUCACGCCAUUCUCCCACCUCCGCCUCCCGAGCAUUGUUUUAGGAAAGAAAAAAGAUUGAUGUGCUUUAUGCCUGUAAACAUGAUGUAGUGGAAGAGAAUUACUUAA
rnacentral:lncRNA from 1 species